rnacentral:tRNA from 2 species
UUGGGACUGGUCGGGAUAGCUCAGCUGGUAGAGCAGAGGACUGAAAAUCCUCGUGUCACCACUUCAAA